rnacentral:lncRNA from 1 species
UUAACUAGAAAAGCGCUCAUAAGGAUCGAAAGACCCAAGGGAUUGUUCUAAAUUGGGCUUCUAAUAUUGACUUAAUUAAAAACUACUUCACGCCGACUAGGCUUGGCGUUCCAGUGUGGGUGGGUGUCAAACCAAGGCUGGCAUAUUUUUUUUGCCAUGAAGGCUAGAUGAGAGCAUUCGGCAAUUGCAGCCACCGGGCAGGAAUGAGUGAGAUCUAGGAGCGAUGUAGAGAUAUUUAAUUUGCCAAGUUCCAUUUCUCCACGAGAACCAACUGCACGGAAAUGGAAGCAUGCAUUUUGGUCUUGGCUUUCUGGCUGGGACAGGCAGCAUCAUGUAUUCAUGUAUUCCCACGGUCCUUGAAUUCAGGUCAACUCCUGAGCCUAUCCCUCUGGCGAGUGUUUCUAGUGAACAUUGAUAGACAACAAAUCAGUAUUAACAAAGAUGGUAAAACUGAAGCAGUGUAGUAAACAACAUAAAAGUACUACUGUCUAGAAUCGUAAAUGGUUAGAUUUGAAAGACGCCCGAUAACAUUUUAGAUAAAGAUGCUGGUUAAUUAGCUUUUCCCGGUUACAUAUCGGUAGGGCUUUUUAUGUGCAAACGACGCCUAAGAUGUACUCAUGCAGUUGAUACAAUUAAGUCUCUGCAUCAGGUUCAGCAUGUCACUCAAUGUGUCACUACUUUUCGCAGAACAACAUACACACAUAAGAGUAUUUUUCGAAGGUCUUAGAUGUAUCUACCUUGAAUCUCGAAACCAAGGUGGUUGCAUUGGAAACAAGGGUGUUUGGUUUGAGGAACAACCCGUUCAUCCCACAAAUUUUGUUCCUCAUGUUUGUACUCAUGAUUAUUACCUUGUGAGAGAUGAGAUAGCAGAGAAUCAACCCAUUC